AUUUAGUAGACAGAAGCUUAGGUGGAAGAUUACUAAUGAGAGUGGCGAACGGGUGAGUAACGCGUGAGCAACCUGCCUAUGACAGUGGGAUAGCCUCGGGAAACCGGGAUUAAUACCGCAUAAAAUCGUAGAAACACAUGUUUUAACGGUCAAAGAUUUAUCGGUCAUAGAUGGGCUCGCGUCUGAUUAGCUAGUUGGUGAGAUAACAGCCCACCAAGGCGACGAUCAGUAGCCGGUCUGAGAGGAUGAACGGCCACAUUGGAACUGAGACACGGUCCAAACUCCUACGGGAGGCAGCAGUGGGGAAUAUUGCACAAUGGGGGAAACCCUGAUGCAGCGACGCCGCGUGAACGAAGAAGGUAUUCGUAUCGUAAAGUUCUGUCCUAUGGGAAGAUAAUGACAGUACCAUAGAAGAAAGCUCCGGCUAAAUACGUGCCAGCAGCCGCGGUAAUACGUAUGGAGCGAGCGUUGUCCGGAAUUAUUGGGCGUAAAGGGUACGCAGGCGGUUUAAUAAGCUCGAAUGUUAAAGAUCGGGGCUCAAGCCCCGUAAAGCAUUGGAAACUGAUAAACUUGAGUAGUGGAGAGGAAAGUGGAAUUCCUAGUGUAGUGGUGA
rnacentral:rRNA from 2 species